rnacentral:lncRNA from 1 species
UUGAGAGACCUUUGGGGCAUCCAAAAAUCAAGGAGAAAGAGUCUUGGAGCGUGGAGAUCUAAUGGACACAAAACUAGGUGUCUGGGUUAGAGCAAAGAGAAGAAGAAGAGGGUCUUCUUCUAGAGUUGCUGGGUUCAUCUCUUCCCUUCCUCCAUCUGUAAGUUUUUUGAGAGUGUCUCAUCUAAAACUCCUCCUACUUCUCAUCUUUG